AACCAGAGAUACACUCAGCGUGCUUCUCUUCUAUUUCCAGUUAGAGAAAAAUCAACAACCAGAGAUACACUUAGCGUGGUCUCUCUAGGUUUCUUGGAGCUUCCUUCUCGUCAAGUUUUUUUCCGUUUCGUACAAUUCUACUGAACGGAGUGGAAUUGAAUCGUAUGUUUGAUAAGUAUUGAAGGUGAUCUUCAAACCCCUCAACGCCCAGCUCUCUGCAAAGGAUCAGGCAAAGAGACAUCUGAAACUCAAUAUUAGAUGUUGUUUAAAGGUCACAUCCCAAACAGAUAUGAUCAAAGACUGUUGUUGCCUUAGUUGCUGCUGCCAACCGCCGCC